rnacentral:rRNA from 1 species
AGGAGAUUGCGAAUGGGCGCAGCCUGAUGCAGCCAUGCCGCGUGUGUGAAGAAGGCCUUCGGGUUGUAAAGCACUUUCAGCCAGGAGGAAGGUGGUGAGCUUAAUACACUCAUCAAUUGACGUUCCCCGCAGAACAAGCACCGGCUAACUCCGUGCCAGCAGCCGCGGUAAUA